CUGACCCAUUAGAGUUUAGGCUCAUUAAACAUACCCUAAAGUUUGCCGUCACUGUUUCCUGUGUAAUCCAAUCGCCUCUCAACCCCUCUUUGUUGAUUCGCAUGCCAAACGUUAGCAAAUUAGCAAUCAAUCAAUGACACCCACUACAUGAUCUUCAAUGGCUAAUUACUUCCUUCUCAAACGCUCUGAGUAUAAAUAUACGGGGUGAGAUUGUUGUGAAAACUUGAUUUUAGUGGCUUGGAGAAGGAAGAAAUGAAUGCACAUCAAUGGAGGAAAGCUCAAGAAUCACUUGUCAGUCUAGAACGAAACGAUGUGGCUUCUGUUUACUCAAUCGUUAGUUCUUGUCAGCUGUAUCAUCCUCUCUUGAUGGUUUUGAUGAUGCAAACGCCAGCCUUCUUAAUUCCAUUGAUACUUCGUUGAAACUCGAUAAUGAUACAUGUGCUAAGAUCAACUCCAUGAUCAUCUCAUGCUGUUAAGACUUGAUAGGGCUCAAGAUGAUCACAGUGACAAGAUCGUAGAGAUCACAUACAACUCAUGGAAAUAUCUUCUUGGUUAACACUUGGUAAGUUCAAGAUUUCAAUCUCAAUAAAACACCGGAGCUUGGUUCCACUUCUUGGGUUCUGCAGUACUGAACGAGACAACAUGAGACAUCUUUUGCACCAAAUAGCUGCCAUCGAAGCAUUCUGCUACAACAAUAUCAAGACUGUUUUUUUGUUCCUGAGAAAAAAAAGCAAGUCAUAUAGAGUGAGGAUUAGUCAAAUCAGAACACAUUCCAUAUCUCAUUUCUAACUCUAUAGUAGAGGAAGAAGUCUCAGGUAUAUAUUUCUUUGUCAUCUCCAGUCCUCUUCCUGUUCAAAGUAUGAAGGCUGUCUCAAGAACGGAGAUUUCAAUUUCAUCAUACUUUAGCACGUUGACAGCCUGAUCUUUUGAAGAGAGAACUAGAUUUGUAUCAGCUGCAGUUGUACGUCUACUGCGAUAGAGAGGACACAAAAGAGGCUAGCUAAAAAAACAGAGAUCUGCAGUAAGUUGACAAAUUAGGAAGCUAGAUUUUGAUGUGUUUGCUUCUCCGAAACUGUAUACAUUAAAAGAUUUGACCUGUCUUAAUACAAAAAGAGUCUUAACAGCAAACAUGUUCUAAUCAUAUAAGCCCAUAUGUGGAAUAAGUAUAUGACUGUACUGUGUACACAAGGAUUUGGUCAAUGUGUUUUUGGAUAUAUUAUUCUUUCCAGACUACAAUU